rnacentral:rRNA from 1 species
UGUGGAUUGUCCUUUGGACAAUGGUAGGAGAGCGUUCUAAGGGCGUUGAAGCAUGAUCGUAAGGACAUGUGGAGCGCUUAGAAGUGAGAAUGCCGGUGUGAGUAGCGAAAGACGGGUGAGAAUCCCGUCCACCGAUUGACUAAGGUUUCCAGAGGAAGGCUCGUCCGCUCUGGGUUAGUCGGGUCCUAAGCUGAGGCCGACAGGCGUAGGCGAUGGAUAACAGGUUGAUAUUCCUGUACCACCUAUAAUCGUUUUAAUCGAUGGGGGGACGCAGUAGGAUAGGCGAAGCGUGCGAUUGGAUUGCACGUCUAAGCAGUAAGGCUGAGUAUUAGGCAAAUCCGGUACUCGUUAAGGCUGAGCUGUGAUGGGGAGAAGACAUUGUGUCUUCGAGUCGUUGAUUUCACACUGCCGAGAAAAGCCUCUAGAUAGAAAAUAGGUGCCCGUACCGCAAACCGACACAGGUAGUCAA